CAGCAUUGGGGAGGAAGAAGAACUUCCCUAACCCUCAUCAAUCUUCCAACUACCAUAACUCUUCCGUCCAAGCUCCGAUCGCCGCACCGUUCGCGGCCACGCGUCCAGCGCGUUGAGCUCUAUAUUUCUGUCAGAUCAAUUUUAUCAGUUCGAUUUAGCUUCCGGAGCUUAUUGAGCUUGAGUUAUUAUGCGUAUGGGUACGGUAAGAACAACCUAAAUCCUAGUCAAUUUUGAUUUUAUUAUGAAGAAGCUGAAUUUAAAACAUAUAUGUGUAUUAGGUGUGAAUUAAGUUUAUAUAUAAGCAUUGGAACUGAAAAGUGAGUAUUUGGAAGUUUGGUGGUGAUUCAGGCUAAGCUUGUGGCUAGUUUUUCUGAGCUUGAGGGGCUGUGUUGUGACCUUGAGGGGCUGCCUUGGAUUAAAUAAAGUGAUCGGCCAAGAUGUAGGUCGAGAGGCUCCUCGCUAGGCGUCUGGAUUCUGGAAGCGGAGUAGUCCUGGGUGUAUUUUAGGCUUUAUGUUUGUAUAUAUAUGACUCAUGUACUUAGCUUGCUCUCCAAGAAUCUUGUUUAUUUUGUUCCUCAUAGAGGCUAUAGGAGAGUUAGGGGCUUGAUUCUGUAUUCUGUA